UACGAAGGGUGCAAGCGUUACUCGGAAUUACUGGGCGUAAAGCGUGCGUAGGUGGUUUGUUAAGUCUGCUGUGAAAUCCCCGGGCUCAACCUGGGAAUGGCGGUGGAUACUGACAAGCUAGAGUGCGGUAGAGGAGGGUGGAAUUCCCGGUGUAGCGGUGAAAUGCGUAGAGAUCGGGAGGAACAUCAGUGGCGAAGGCGGCCCUCUGGACCAGCACUGACGCUGAGGCACGAAAGCGUGGGGAGCAAACAGG
rnacentral:rRNA from 1 species